UACGAGGGGUCCAAGCGUUGCUCGGAAUCAUUGGGCGUAAAGCGGGUGUAAGGUGGCUUUGUAAGUCAAGGAGUGAAAGCCCUAGGCUCAACCUAGGAAGUGCUUUUGAUACUGCGAAGCUUGAAUGUGGGAGAGGAUCGUGGAAUUCCCGGUGUAGAGGUGAAAUUCGUAGAUAUCGGGAGGAACACCAGUGGCGAAGGCGGCGAUCUGGGAACAUACUGACGCUGAGGUGCGAAAGCGUGGGGAGCAAACAG
rnacentral:rRNA from 1 species